rnacentral:pre_miRNA from 1 species
CACGUACUCCCUCCGUUCGGAAUUACUUGUCACAAAAAUGGAUGUAUCUACAACUAAAAUACAUCUAGAUACAUUCAUUUCUUCGACGAGUAAUUCCGAACGGAGGGAGUAGUAG